GAUGAACGCUGGCGGCGUGCCUAAUACAUGCAAGUCGAGCGAACGGACGAGAAGCUUGCUUCUCUGAUGUUAGCGGCGGACGGGUGAGUAACACGUGGAUAACCUACCUAUAAGACUGGGAUAACUUCGGGAAACCGUAGCUAAUACCGGAUAAUAUUUUGAACCGCAUGGUUCAAAAGUGAAAGACGGUCUUGCUGUCACUUAUAGAUGGAUCCGCGCUGCAUUAGAUAGUUGGUAAGGUAACGGCUUACCAAGGCAACGAUGCAUAGCCGACCUGAGAGAGUGAUCGGCCACACUGGAACUGUAACACGGUCCAGACUCCUACGGGAGGCAGCAGUAGGGAAUCUUACGCAAUGGGCGAAAGCCUGACGGAGCAACGCCGCGUGAGUGAUGAAGGUCUUCGGAUCGUAAAACUCUGUUAUUAGGGAAGAACAUAUGUGUAAGUAACUGUGCACAUCUUGACGAUACCUAAUCAGAAAGCCACGGCUAACUCCGUG
rnacentral:rRNA from 1 species